UGGAUGAGGUGUUUGGUUGGUUUUGGUUGAAUGGAUGAGGUGUUUGAUUAGUUUUGGUUGGAUGGAUGAGGUGAUUGAUUGGUUUUGGGUGGAUGGAUGAGGUGUUUGAUUGGUUUUGGUUGAAUGGAUGAGGCGUUUGAUUGGUUUUGGGUGGAUGGAUGAGGUGUUUGAUUGGUUUUGGUUGAAUGGAUGAAGUGUUUGAUUGGUUUUGGGUGGAUGGAUGAGGCGUUUGAUUGGUUUUGGGUGGAUGGAUGAGGUGUUUGAUUGGUUUUGGUUGAAUGGAUGAAGUGUUUGAUUGGUUUUGGGUGGAUGGAUGAGGCGUUUGAUUGGUUUUGGGUGGAUGGAUGGAUGAAGUGUUUGAUUGGUUUUGGGUGGAUGGAUGAGGUGUUUGAUUGGUUUUGGUUGAAUGGAUGAAGUGUUUGGUUUUGGAUGGAUGGAUGAGGUGUUUAAUUGGUUUUUGUUGAAUGGAUGAGGCGUUUGAUUGGUUUUGGGUGGAUGGAUGAAGUGUUUGACUGGUUUUGGUUGAAUGGAUGAAGUGUUUGAUUGGUUUUGGUUGAAUGGAUGAAGUGUUUAAUUGGUUUUGGAUGGAUGGAUGAGGCGUUUGAUUGGUUUUGGGUGGAUGGAUGAGGCGUUUGAUUGGUUUUGGGUGGAUGGAUGAGGCGUUUGAUUGGUUUUGGAUGGAUGGAUGAAGUGUUUGAUUGGUUUUGGUUGAAUGGAUGAAGUGUUUGAUUGGU